GAUGAACGCUAGCGGCAGGCCUAAUACAUGCAAGUCGAACGGUGUCUUCGGACAUAGUGGCGCACGGGUGCGUAACACGUAUGCAACCUACCUUACAUUGGGGGAUAGCCUUUCGAAAGGGAGAUUAAUACCGCAUAAGACAGUAGCUGGGCAUCCAGCAGCUGUUAAAGAUUUAUCGAUGUAAGCUGGGCAUGCGUCCAAUUAGCUAGUUGGUGAGGUAACGGCUCACCAAGGCAAUGAUUGGUAGGGGAACUGAGAGGUCAAUCCCCCACACUGGCACUGGGAUACGGGCCAGACUCCUACGGGAGGCGGCAGUAGGGAAUAUUGGGCAAUGGACGCAAGGCUGACCCAGCCAUGCCGCGUGCAGGAUGAAGGCGUUAUGCGUUGUAAACUGCUUUUAUACAGGAAGAAACGACUCUUGCGAGAGGCAUUGACGGUACUGUAUGAAUAAGCACCGGCUAACUCCGUGCCAGCCGCCGCGGUAACAC
rnacentral:rRNA from 1 species